rnacentral:tRNA from 2 species
GGUAGAAUGGCUGAGUAGAGCAUUAGACUGUAAAUCUAAAAACAGAGAGUAGUUUCUCUUUCUAUCA